rnacentral:rRNA from 1 species
CAAGUGAAGAAGCGCAUACGGUGGAUGCCUUGGCAGUCAGAGGCGAUGAAAGACGUGGUAGCCUGCGAAAAGCUUCGGGGAGUCGGCAAACAGACUUUGAUCCGGAGAUGUCUGAAUGGGGGAACCCAGCCAUCAUAAGAUGGUUAUCUUGUACUGAAUACAUAGGUGCAAGAGGCGAACCAGGGGAACUGAAACAUCUAAGUACCCUGAGGAAAAGAAAUCAACCGAGAUUCCCUUAGUAGUGGCGAGCGAACGGGGACUAGCCCUUAAGUGGCUUUGAGAUUAGCGGAACGCUCUGGAAAGUGCGGCCAUAGUGGGUGAUAGCCCUGUACGCGAAAAUCUCUUAGUCAUGAAAUCGAGUAGGACGGAGCACGAGAAACUUUGUCUGAAUAUGGGGGGACCAUCCUCCAAGGCUAAAUACUACUGACUGACCGAUAGUGAACUAGUACCGUGAGGGAAAGGCGAAAAGAACCCCGGAGAGGGGAGUGAAAUAGAUCCUGAAACCGUAUGCGUACAAGCAGUGGGAGCCCACUUUGUUGGGUGACUGCGUACCUUUUGUAUAAUGGGUCAGCGACUUAUUUUCAGUGGCGAGCUUAACCGAAUAGGGGAGGCGUAGCGAAAGCGAGUCUUAAUAGGGCGUCUAGUCGCUGGGAAUAGACCCGAAACCGGGCGAUCUAUCCAUGGGCAGGUUGAAGGUUGGGUAACACUAACUGGAGGACCGAACCGACUACCGUUGAAAAGUUAGCGGAUGACCUGUGGAUCGGAGUGAAAGGCUAAUCAAGCUCGGAGAUAGCUGGUUCUCCUCGAAAGCUAUUUAGGUAGCGCCUCAUGUAUCACUGUAGGGGGUAGAGCACUGUUUCGGCUAGGGGGUCAUCCCGACUUACCAAACCGAUGCAAACUCCGAAUACCUACAAGUGCCGAGCAUGGGAGACACACGGCGGGUGCUAACGUCCGUCGUGAAAAGGGAAACAACCCAGACCGUCAGCUAAGGUCCCAAAGUUAUGGUUAAGUGGGAAACGAUGUGGGAAGGCUUAGACAGCUAGGAGGUUGGCUUAGAAGCAGCCACCCUUUAAAGAAAGCGUAAUAGCUCACUAGUCGAGUCGGCCUGCGCGGAAGAUGUAACGGGGCUCAAACCCCGAAGCUACGGGUAUCAUCUUCGGAUGAUGCGGUAGAGGAGCGUUCUGUAAGCCUGUGAAGGUGAGUUGAGAAGCUUGCUGGAGGUAUCAGAAGUGCGAAUGCUGACAUGAGUAACGACAAUGGGUGUGAAAAACACCCACGCCGAAAGACCAAGGUUUCCUGCGCAACGUUAAUCGACGCAGGGUUAGUCGGUCCCUAAGGCGAGGCUGAAAAGCGUAGUCGAUGGAAAACAGGUUAAUAUUCCUGUACUUCUGGUUAUUGCGAUGGAGGGACGGAGAAGGCUAGGCCAGCUUGGCGUUGGUUGUCCAAGUUUAAGGUGGUAGGCUGAGAUCUUAGGUAAAUCCGGGAUCUUAAGGCCGAGAGCUGAUGACGAGUGUUCUUUUAGAACACGAAGUGGUUGAUGCCAUGCUUCCAAGAAAAGCUUCUAAGCUUCAGGUAACCAGGAACCGUACCCCAAACCGACACAGGUGGUUGGGUAGAGAAUACCAAGGCGCUUGAGAGAACUCGGGUGAAGGAACUAGGCAAAAUGGCACCGUAACUUCGGGAGAAGGUGCGCCGGUGAGGGUGAAGGACUUGCUCCGUAAGCUCAUGCCGGUCGAAGAUACCAGGCCGCUGCGACUGUUUAUUAAAAACACAGCACUCUGCAAACACGAAAGUGGACGUAUAGGGUGUGACGCCUGCCCGGUGCCGGAAGGUUAAUUGAUGGGGUUAGCUAACGCGAAGCUCUUGAUCGAAGCCCCGGUAAACGGCGGCCGUAACUAUAACGGUCCUAAGGUAGCGAAAUUCCUUGUCGGGUAAGUUCCGACCUGCACGAAUGGCGUAACGAUGGCGGCGCUGUCUCCACCCGAGACUCAGUGAAAUUGAAAUCGCUGUGAAGAUGCAGUGUAUCCGCGGCUAGACGGAAAGACCCCGUGAACCUUUACUAUAGCUUUGCACUGGACUUUGAAUUUGCUUGUGUAGGAUAGGUGGGAGGCUUUGAAGCGUGGACGCCAGUUCGCGUGGAGCCAUCCUUGAAAUACCACCCUGGCAACUUUGAGGUUCUAACUCAGGUCCGUUAUCCGGAUCGAGGACAGUGUAUGGUGGGUAGUUUGACUGGGGCGGUCUCCUCCUAAAGAGUAACGGAGGAGUACGAAGGUGCGCUCAGACCGGUCGGAAAUCGGUCGUAGAGUAUAAAGGCAAAAGCGCGCUUGACUGCGAGACAGACACGUCGAGCAGGUACGAAAGUAGGUCUUAGUGAUCCGGUGGUUCUGUAUGGAAGGGCCAUCGCUCAACGGAUAAAAGGUACUCCGGGGAUAACAGGCUGAUACCGCCCAAGAGUUCAUAUCGACGGCGGUGUUUGGCACCUCGAUGUCGGCUCAUCACAUCCUGGGGCUGAAGCCGGUCCCAAGGGUAUGGCUGUUCGCCAUUUAAAGUGGUACGCGAGCUGGGUUUAGAACGUCGUGAGACAGUUCGGUCCCUAUCUGCCGUGGACGUUUGAGAUUUGAGAGGGGCUGCUCCUAGUACGAGAGGACCGGAGUGGACGAACCUCUGGUGUUCCGGUUGUCACGCCAGUGGCAUUGCCGGGUAGCUAUGUUCGGGAAAGAUAACCGCUGAAAGCAUCUAAGCGGGAAACUUGCCUCAAGAUGAGAUCUCACUGGAACCUUGAGUUCCCUGAAGGGCCGUCGAAGACUACGACGUUGAUAGGUUGGGUGUGUAAGCGCUGUGAGGCGUUGAGCUAACCAAUACUAAUUGCCCGUGAGGCUUGACCA